rnacentral:rRNA from 1 species
AAAUUACAUCCGUAACUUCGGGAGAAGGAUGACCCUAUUAGGGUGAAGGGACUUGCUCCCCGAGCUCGAGAGGGUGACACAAACCAGGGGGUAGCGACUGUUUUACCAAAAACACAGCAGCGUGCUAAGCCGCAAGGCGCUGUAUACGCUGUGACGCCUGCCCAAUGCUGGAAGGUCACGGGGAACGGUUAGUCGAAAGGCGAAGCUGUGAACCUAAGCCCCAGUGAAUGGCGGCCGUAACUAUAACGGUCCUAAGGUAGCGAAAUUCCUUGUCGGGUAAGUUCCGACCUGCACGAAUGGCGUAACGACUUCCCCACUGUCUCAACCAUAGACCCGGCGAAAUUGAAGUACGAGUAAAGAUGCUCGUUAGCUGCGGAAGGACGGAUAGACCCCAUGGACCUUUACUACAACUUGAUAUUGAGCUUUGUCCUGCAUUGUGUAGGAUAGGUGGGAGACUUGGAAGCUGUGGCGCUAGCCAUGGUGGAGUCAUCGUUGAAAUACCACCCUGUGUAUGACGGGGCUCUAACCUAGGUCCAUUAUCUGGAUCAGGAACAGUGUCAGGCGGGUAGUUUGACUGGGGCGGUCGCCUCCUAAAAUGUAACGGAGGCGCCCAAAGGUUCCCUCAGGCUGGUUGGCAAUCAGCCGUCGAGUGCAAUGGCACAAGGGAGCUUGACUGCGAGACCUACAAGUCAAGCAGGUGCGAAAGCAGGGCAUAGUGACCCGGCCAUCACGUGUGGAAGUGUGGUCGCUCAACGGAUAAAAGGUACCCUGGGGAUAACAGGCUAAUCUUUCCCAAGAGUCCAUAUCGACGGAAAGGUUUGGCACCUCGAUGUCGGCUCAUCGCAUCCUGGGGCUGAAGCAGGUCCCAAGGGUUGGGCUGUUCGCCCAUUAAAGCGGUACGCGAGCUGGGUUCAGAACGUCGUGAGACAGUUCGGUCCCUAUCCUCCGCAGCCGAAGGUGUAUUGAGGAAGGCUGUCCCUAGUACGAGAGGACCGGGACGGACGGAGCUCUGGUGUGUCUGUUGUCCUGCCAAGGGCAUGGCAGAUUAGCCACCUCCGGAAGGGAUAACUGCUGAAAGCAUCUAAGUAGGAAACCCGUUCCAAGAUGAGUACACCCAUGCGGUUAACGCAGUAAGGCCCGUGACAAGACCAUCACGUUGAUAGGCCGGAGGUGUAAGCACGGUAACGUGUGUAGCCGACCGGUACUAAU